rnacentral:rRNA from 1 species
UACGUAGGGGGCAAGCGUUAUCCGGAAUUACUGGGUGUAAAGGGUGCGUAGGUGGCGAUUUAAGUCAGAUGUGAAAACUCAGGGCUCAACCUUGAGACUGCAUCUGAAACUGAGUUGCUAGAGUGCAGGAGAGGAAAGCGGAAUUCCGAGUGUAGCGGUGAAAUGCGUAGAUAUUCGGAGGAACACCAGUAGCGAAGGCGGCUUUCUGGACUGUAACUGACACUGAGGCACGAAAGCGUGGGGAGCGAACAGG